rnacentral:lncRNA from 1 species
UUUCUGUUUCUUGGCCUUUGUUUGGCCAUUUUUAUAAUGAUAAGCUCUGAGGUUUUAGCUAGGGAGUUGUCUGAGACUUCCACCACUUCAGAAGAGGACUGUAAGAACCCUCUCAUUAUUUUCUCCCUAUUAUUAUCUGUAUAAUUAUUUAACCUUUCAAAUUAGUGGUUAACGUACGUGCAACUUGUAGUAAAGGUAUUAUUUCCUCUAAAGCAAGUACUUAGGUUUCGUUUGGUAAGGUGUAUAAGAAUAGUACUAAAUAUUGUGUAUCAGUAAUGCUGAGAUUAGUUAUGUUAGGAUUAUUUUUUGUGGUUGUUUGAUUUGGUAUAUUAAAGGUUUUGAAAUGACAAUUCUGUCUUUAUACAUGCUUAUCUAUGUAUUAAAGACUAUGGUAUUGCUAAUGCUAUGAUUUUUGUUAUAUAUACGAAUAAUACUGAAUAUGGUGUAUAACUAAUAUAAAUAUAAGUUAAAAAACACUACAGAGCAAGAAAUUAACAGUACUAAAGUUAAUACAUGUAUUAUUUUUCCUAAUACACCCUAUCAAACGACCCCUUAGAGUUACACGUCUGGUGUUCCUAAUGCUAGCUUGAUCAUGAAUCUUAGCAAGUUUUAUAGUAUUUCAUUUGACCUUAACAUAGCAAAUAUUAUAAAUGUGCUUGUAUCACGAAAAAUUACAUAUAAGUAAAGGAUUUAACAGUAUAAAAGAAUCUUAUGUGAUCUGAUCUGCAUUCGACCUAAUACUACAAAACAAUUUCACCAUCGACGUGUAGAAAUUAAACUUGUAAGAUUAUGGAUUACGGCAAAAUUGUGUUAAUUUUCUAGUUUAGAGUUGAAAGAGAAGGUGAAGUUGUCCCUUUGACCUAUAAAUCACGGGUUCGAACCGUAAAAGCAGCCGCGAAUACUUGCACUAGGAUAGGCUGUCUACGUCACAUCCUUGGGGUGCGACCCUUCUCCGGAUUCUGCGUGAAUGUCGAUGCCUUAUACACCGGGCUGUCCUUUGCUAGUUUAGAGUUAGUACAAGAAUAAAACAGCUAAUAAAAAUAACAUACCUUUUUUCACACAAUUGAUGCAGCAAAGAAAUCCGAUAACAAGAAUGAAGUGCAUGAAGCUCAAUAUGGUGGCGGAUACCCCGGUGGUGGCUACCCUGGCGGUGGAUACCCUGGCGGCGGAUACCCUGGUGGCGGCCGUGGUGGCGGUGGAUACCCUGGUGGCGGCCGUGGUGGAUACCCAGGUGGCGGCCGCGGUGGUGGACGUGGAGGAUACUGCCGCUAUGGUUGUUGCGGCCGCCGCAAUUACUACGGCUGCAGCAGGUGUUGCUACUACAAAGGUGAGGCCAUG